CCCCGUGAGCCAGCCUACAACAACACAAGCAGACGGUCUGGUGCGGUGGCGUUAGGGUUAGCGCUGUCGCCCAGCCCCAUGCCCCCAUCCUCAGUCCCGUCCUUCUGCUCCUUGGCCGCCGCUCGACCUCCACAGCCGCACCUCGCCGACGGUUGCUGCCUCCAUCUAUGGACUCGCCGCAUCCCACCAGUGCGCCGCCGGACGACCCUAGGCAUCACGCUCAUGCCGCCCCACCAUCGAUCCCUUGUGUCGUUCCGCCCAUUGCCGUUAGAUACCCCUCCGCCGCUGCCCACGUCCUCCCCGAUCGACUCAACCUCCACUAACGUGUCGCCGCUCUGACCACCGAGUCCUUACCAGCUGCAACCUCGACGAUCCUCCUUUGCAUGCGCUUCCGCAUCCUCUGCGACCCUGCCGCCUCACGGUCUCUACAGUGCCUCGCCGGCAAUGGAACAUAUUUCUAUCUCAUCGUUUUCUUUCGUCCAUCCCCCACCCCACACAGGCCACGCACACAAGUGAACGAGAGAGAGAGAGAGAGACCCCCCACCCCACACAGGCCACGCACACAAGAGAGAGAGAGAAAGAGAGAGAGAGAGAGAGAUGGAUGAGAUAGGACGUCAUGUGUUCUUCACGGGGAGUCCAAUCCAAUCCAAGCUUAUUGCCUCUUGAUGCAUAAACCAACAAGGAGCUUGCUGUUCAAGCAUAGGAAGAACAUCUUGAUGUUGAUUCCCCUUUUUGUACGAGAUUUUUACAAAAAUAUCCAUCAGUAUCUUAUUGUUUAGGAAUGAUAGAAAUUCUGCAAUGAUCGUCAGAAGAUAUUGCUUUACAAUUUCUUCAUUGUAAUCUUAUGCUACAACAUAUGUCUAAC